rnacentral:rRNA from 1 species
GACGAACGCUGGCGGCGUGCUUAACACAUGCAAGUCGAACGGAAAGGCCCUGCUUUUGUGGGGUGCUCGAGUGGCGAACGGAUGAGUAACACGUGAGUAACCUGCCCUUGACUUUGGGAUAACUUCAGGACACUGGGGCUAAUACCGUAUAGGAGCUCCUGCUGCUUGGUGGGGGUUGGAAAGUUUCGGCGGUUGGGGAUGGACUCGCGGCUUAUCAGCUUGUUGGUGGGGUAGUGGCUUACCAAGGCUUUGACGGGUAGCCGGCCUGAGAGGGUGACCGGCCACAUUGGGACUGCGAUGCGGCCCAGACUCCUGCGGGAGGCAGCAGUGGGGAAUAUUGCACAAUGGGCGGAAGCCUGAUGCAGCAACGCCGCGUGCGGGAUGACGGCCUUCGGGUUGUAAACCGCUUUCGCCUGUGACGAAGCGUGAGUGACGGUAAUGGGUAAAGAAGCACCGGCUAACUACGUG